AUAACCGAUCAAAUCAAACCAUAAAAAAAAACCAAAACCGAACUGUUUUAAUUUUCAAAACUCAAUUUGUUUUCCCGUUCAAACAGCGUCAUUGCUUUCUCUAGUUCUAGCGGAACCUAGUUAUUUUCUGGAAUUCAGCCUGCCUUUUUUUUUUUUCCCUAAGCAAGCAAAUAAAUAAAAUGGAAAUAACAAAUAAUAAUAAUAAUAAUUCAUCAACAUCACGAAAAAGACAACGAGGAGACGAUGCAGAUGAUAAUUCCGUACAUGAUGAUUCUCUUCAAUCUCUUUCCCUUGAAGACAAUCUUAUAUUCAGUGACACAAUGGUUGCUCUUAACAUGAUGCGUGCCCAGUUUCCUCAUUCUGAUAAGGUUACCAUUGAGCCGUUUAUCUUACGAUCACAAUUGUACAGCAGUGUCAAAGAUAGGACACAAGUGGAUAGAGAAUUGGAGUUAUUGAGGAGGGAUAAAGUUUUGCGUAUUUUCAAACUAAACAGCGGACAGGAUGAUCAUGCUGUAAUGUUCAUGGAAGAUUAUUUGAAACAGAUGAAACAGGCUGUUAAAAGCAUGGAAACAAAAAAGCAAAGUGGUUUUGCAGUUUUUGAGUGGUUUGAAGUGCAUGUCAUUCAUAGCAAGCCUGAACCUUGUAUAGGUCAUCAAGAGCUAUGUUCACUUCUAUCAAUAGGAGGAAAGGUAAAAGAUGAAGAUAUAUCUCUUUUGAUGAACGCUGGUCUUCUGACUCGCCAGCUUAUUGAUCCUGAUAUGUACUGGUUUGCAAUUCCAAAUAUUGGGUCACUUCUGAAGGCCCUCACGCAGGGAAGAAAGGAGCUGUUGUCUCUACUCAACCGUAAAAAAUACAAAGAGAUGAUGUUGGCUCUUCUUGAGAAAAAACGUCUGCGUCUAUCGCCUUUGGAUAUAAGAUUUCAUCUUCGUGAUCUUCUAGGCUCCGGUCACCUCAAAACUGUCCACACACCAAGUGGGUUAGUCGUUCGAGCCGUGAAGGAUUAAAAUUAGGAAUGCUUCAGAUGUCAUGAUGGAGCUGGCAUCUUGUAGUGUCAUGAGCUUACGGAUAAGGGCCCGGAAACUUGUUUGAGCUAAGAAUGAGUCAAGUCUGUAUCGCAUUAUUAACGGACAGGAAUAUGUCAAGAAUGGGGUAUCCUCUUAACUGCCUCAGGUAGUAGCAAGUGAAAUCAUUUCAUCUCAAAGCAAUUUUCUCCCGAUCACAUUGACAUUACAUUUUUCAAAUUGUAUAGACAAGAAACCUCGGGCGUUAUGUGAUGCAGUUUUCAUAGCCCCAAUCAUAAUGGUGUAUAUUAUUAAUUAGUGUGUAUAUAUAUUUAUCAUUCUGUCGGCUUCAUACCUGGUACAUGUAAGCAUCAUUGCAAUUCGGGAAAUUUAAAGAGACUUUGGUGCUA